GAUGAACGCUGGCGGCGUGCCUAAUACAUGCAAGUCGAGCGAACAGACGAGGAGCUUGCUCCUUCGACGUUAGCGGCGGACGGGUGAGUAACACGUAGGUAACCUACCUAUAAGACUGGGAUAACUUCGGGAAACCGGAGCUAAUACCGGAUAAUAUUUCGAACCGCAUGGUUCGAUAGUGAAAGAUGGCUUUGCUAUCACUUAUAGACGGACCUGCGCCGUAUUAGCUAGUUGGUAAGGUAACGGCUUACCAAGGCAACGAUACGUAGCCGACCUGAGAGGGUGAUCGGCCACACUGGAACUGAGACACGGUCCAGACUCCUACGGGAGGCAGCAGUAGGGAAUCUUCCGCAAUGGGCGAAAGCCUGACGGAGCAACGCCGCGUGAGUGAUGAAGGUCUUCGGAUCGUAAAACUCUGUUAUUAGGGAAGAACAAACGUGUAAGUAACUGUGCACGUCUUGACGGUACCUAAUCAGAAAGCCACGGCUAACUACGUG
rnacentral:rRNA from 1 species